rnacentral:lncRNA from 1 species
GAGGCGGCUGGGGUGCCGCUGCUGUGGGAGGCGGCGGCAGAGUGAGGGGCGAGGCCCGAGGGGCCGGCGGCGGCGGCGGCGGCGGCGGGGGCUUCCCGGCCGGGUGAGCGGCUCGGGGGGAGGCGGGGCGAGGAGGCCUGGGCCCGCAGGGAGGGCGUGUCCGCCACCCAGGAGGGGCGGGUCUCGGGGUGGCGGAUGGGGCAGCGGGGAGGAUGCGGCGGUCCGACUCGGGUUCUGUUGGGACAGCUCCUCUGCACCCCGUAGAUCCCUCGGUCAGCGCCUUCCCUUGGGCGCGGCGACCCGGCGCGGGUUUCCAGGGGACAGCUGCCCGGCGCCCCUGAGGUCCCUCGACAGGCACGACGACCCGGGCACCUGCUGCCGCGACCCUGAUCCUCCGCCGUCGUCGGGCAGGUUGCGGUCCCCGCGGUUCCCGGCAUCUGGACGGUGCCCUUGUCCUCGAGGCGGCCCUGGACGCGUCGCCUGCGGGGCCUGAACCGAGGACCCCCCCGCACCCCGCUUUGUCCUGGUGAGGCGCUCCUGCCGCGCAGCGGCAUCUUCCUCUGUUAACGUCGAGAAUGAGUAGUGAAGGCUGCUCAUUAUCCUGCAUUGUAAAGUAAAACUUGUCUUUUUAGAAGCGUCUCCUGAAAAUUGGCGCAUCUCCUAUGCUUCUCUGGGUUGUAUUGGGAAACUGGGCCAGUCGCUGUCAGGACUGUCCUGUUGGUAGGUCUCGAGGGAAAGAAAUGGGAGAGAAACCUACCCCGUAAAUAUUUUCCUACUCAGGUGCUUUUCGAACUACCUAUUAGGUGCUGGAACAAAUUACAAACUGCAGGUAGAAAUCAGGAAGGCCUCUUUAGGCUCCUGGCCAGGCAGCCUUUUUAGCAUUUUUCUGAAUGUGAACAGGUCCAAACGACAGAGCAGAAUUUGAAAAGAAAGGUUUUGCUGCAGAUUCAUAACGAGAAAUGGCUACUAAAAUUUUAUUUUGAAAUCACAGCUGUUUCAGUCACCCCCAAGAAACCUUUAAAACGUCUUAUUAGAAGCAUUUUUAUAUAUAGGAACAUUUAGCCAUUUAUACACAUUUCUAAGAUAGAAAUCACAAUGAAGAUACGUUGUUUCACUAUUCCAAGUUCCAAGUAACCAUGGUGAAUAUGGUUUCACCAUUCCAAGUAACCACUGUGAAUGUGGUUAUACACCUCCAGCUACAUUAUCCAGGCAGCAGAGGGCAUAAAAGCUGCUUUCCAAAUUUAGAUGGCAAUUUUAGAUGUGAUGCCUGAUGUCAACUAUUCUCAAGUAUGCUAAAGCCCAUUUCUGCUGACCAAGCACCUGAGCAAGUGACCGGGCAGCCUCCACAGGGUCAUCUUUCUGAAGGUAGGAUUCGCUUCAGUUUGGACCAAUGAAGAAGGUAAUAUGUAAAUAUGGAAUAUUGGGAAAAAUUGACCACUUUAUUUGGAGUUAAUAUUAAGGAAUCAAAGGAAACAUUGAACUAAUUGGACUUAGACUCGUCUCUGCUAUGACUAUCAUUCUACUUUAGAUCCCUAAUGCCAGGCAAAUAGUCCCUCCUUAUUAAGAAUAAAUGUAC